rnacentral:tRNA from 1 species
AAGGUGCCGGGGCUUCGCCCGUUUGUUUUUUAACGGGCGAAG